CCAAAGAGCCCAUACUUUUAAAGAGAAAAUAUGUUCUGGGAAAAUUUGAACAUUUUUAAGAAUUUAGAAAAAUGGACAAAAUCAGAGACUUUUCCACCAAAUGCAUCUUAUUUUGUAUGUGACUGGCACAUCUCAGAUGGAACAUUUCUCCUGUUUGCUCUCUACCCCACAAGUCCAGACUCUGCAGCACUGGGUUAGCUGAUGCUCAUGCAUUUUGACCAUGCUUAUUUUGAUUUAUGUUACUGUUGUCACUUUCAGAUACGUGUUGCCUGCAAGGCAAUUAGACAAAAAUGUCUUACUUGGAGCCAAGCACUACAUUUAUGAUGCUGUAUCUCACACAGCAGAAAAUGAAUGGAAAAGGACUAUACUAAAAGACGUUAUGGUAUCGUAUGCAACACAUAGAGGGAGAACUGCCUCCACUGCAACCAUGUUAAGAAGAGGGCAGCUUCGUUAAACAUCCAAGUAGAUGAACAAAUACAUUUAAAAUGUGUCUCUUGUGUAACAUGAACUUAAGUGAAUGCAAUUUUUUUAAAAUUUUUUAUUUUGCCAAUUACUUGGCACAGUGUCUCUUGUAGGACAUCUUUGAAUCAAAAUGACUUGCGUGCCCAAUAACAGCAGCAAUUUCAGCAGUGGGGAUCUCCAUCAAUAACACUGCAAUGGAUCUCAAAGCUCUCCUACAUCAGCUUGAAAGCUGUGCAAGAUCCGUAGUAUGCACCAAACAUCAGGAAACUUCUGGUAUCCCCUGUGCUGCAGUCCCUUGUGAGCUAUGAGCAUCCCCUGCACUAAAAGUCCUAAAUCCUGUCUUGGAGUGGCUGCCAGUAAGUGUUCUAGGCAGAACAUCAACAAAGCGUAAGUGCAAUGUUCAUUUCACAUCUGUCCUUCAUUAAUCAUUUCCUAAAUACUAAAGGUACCAUAUCAUUGUGAUUUUCCCUUUUUAAUCUGCUGGGGGAGGUGAUGUGAGUGAUCGUGUAUGAUGAUCUGGGAGUGGAAUAUAGAACUGCCAGGUGCAGAACACAGAGAGGGCAGUCCUUUAGAAUCAUAGAAUCACAAGGUUGGAAACGACCUGCAAGAUCAUCUAGUCCAAUCUCUUUCCCAUUCCUA